rnacentral:lncRNA from 1 species
AUCCAUUCGACGUUCUUUUUGAUAAUAUAUGUGAACAAAUAAUAGCUAUAGUCCAACCAUUUCCCGAAUUUCAAGGGUGGGAUUUGUAUUUUUUGGACGAAGUUAUUUCAUUGUCCCUUUUUUCCCUGAUGGAUGAAUAUUAUUUUUCCAUUGAAUGCCUCCAAGGCAUAUACUUAGAUUUAAUCACCAAUGGUGCUUCUUCAGCCUUUUUAACCUUUUUUCUUAAUUAUUGAAUUGAAGUUAUAUAAAAAAAUGAACUGACAAAGCGUCUGUUCACGGAGGUUGUUGUAGUUUUCGUAGUUGCAAGAAUUUCUUUC